AGAGGCUCAAGGGAGGAGUGGUCACAGACUGGAUCAAGCCAGGCUGUAGUGUUGCCACGUGAUCAUGACAAAGAAUGAUUAUAGUGAUCCACUGUGGAAUGUAAGCCAAGUGAGAAGAAGAGAAAGAGAUCUGAAAUGAAAGCAAGCAUGAAGAAGGACACCGUCUCCAUUUCCAGGCUUAGUGGCAUGAAGGUUAUAAGAAGGAAGACAAAAGAGACAGCCAAUAUUUGAGAAGCAAAGUAGGAACUCGUCAAUGUUCUAUUGGAUCAAGGAGGUGAAUGGAACAUUCAGAGAAUAGGCUGCUCGAGAAGGUGAACUGAGGAGUGAACUGCUUCUUGGUUAUCAACUUCAUACGAUCAUUAAGUGGAUUUUUAGAUUCUGAACAGUUUCCUUUGAAUCCUUUGACUCUUCUGCCUUGAAACUGCAUCUGUCCCAUGGACUGAACCCCAGUCAUGGGGAGAGGCCAGGUCAUGGUGAAGCCACGUGGAUCACAGACAUUUUGUUUGGUGAGUCUGUGUCUGGGGACCUCCAGUCAAGCAAAAGGAAAGCUGGCUCUGAGUUUGUUGUAUCCCUCUUUCCUGACCGUGACCCUGGCGUUCCAUAGGAAACAAGCUAACCUUGACCCUUCUGUGGGGCAGACACUGGAGGGUGCUUCAGAUUCAGCACUGAGCACCACAGCAGGGGAGGACGUUAAAAAUAACCUAACUACAGUUCUAAGAAGAGCUGCAAUGCAGAAGUUUGCUCUGUUGAAGCCCUAAUAUCCAGAACCUCAGAAUAUGACUGUAUUCGGACACAGGGCCUUUAAAAAGAUGAUUAAGUUAAAAUGAGGUGGUUUUUUUUUUUAGAGUGGGCCCUAGUCCAAUCUGCCUGGUGUUUUUUAUAAAAGGAGGUCAAUACACACAGAGAGACACCAAGGAUGUGCUCGCAAAGAGAAAAUGCCAUGUGAGGACA